ACGAACGCUGGCGGCGUGCCUAACCCAUGCAAGUCGAACGGAACUGUUUUGAAAGAUUUCUUCGGAAUGAAUUUGAUUUAGUUUAGUGGCGGACGGGUGAGUAACGCGUGAGUAACCUGCCUUCAAGAGGGGAAUAACAUUCUGAAAAGAAUGCUAAUACCGCAUGACAUAUCGGAACCACAUGGUUUUGAUAUCAAAGAUUUUAUCGCUUGAAGAUGGACUCGCGUCCGAUUAGUUAGUUGGUGAGGUAACGGCUCACCAAGACCGCGAUCGGUAGCCGGACUGAGAGGUUGAACGGCCACAUUGGGACUGAGACACGGCCCAGACUCCUACGGGAGGCAGCAGUGGGGGAUAUUGCGCAAUGGGGGCAACCCUGACGCAGCAACGCCGCGUGAAGGAUGAAGGUUUUCGGAUUGUAAACUUCUUUUAUUAAGGACGAAAAAUGACGGUACUUAAUGAAUAAGCUCCGGCUAACUACGUG
rnacentral:rRNA from 1 species